AUCUUCUGGGUUAUCCUUAGAAAUAUUGAACGAGACGAAGAUGAUUCCUUUUUUCACGCUGCUCUGAUAACCUCUUUGGAACUCCUCUCUAAUCCGGGUGCGGCGGUGUUUAUGUAUUAAAAAGUUACUCCGGGCUUUGGCCCGUUUUUUUGGAAGCAACGACGACGACGACACAACUCACUGAUGGUGGCAAAUGAUUUAUGUACGCAGGAUAUUUUUGAGCAGCAUCUUCUUCUGACUUAUGUAUUUCUCAACACAACUAAUUUGCAAGUUCAGCAGGAUUGGGAAGAAGCAGUUUUUUGGAUAUAUAAACCGUCGUGAAAAUACAGAAUAGAAAAUUGGAACGAAGACGACGACGACGACGAUGAUGAUGGAUGGUUGUGUAAAAUGUUUUGGGCGCGUGAGAGAAAAUUUCAUGAUUUUACGCACUCAGACGGAACAGAAGAGGUUAAGCGUUUUUGGUAAUAUUCGUAGUGGCAAAUUCAAUAAGACUCUGCAGAAGGAGUUAAAUUAGAAUGAAUUAUUGUAAAUACUGCUUCUUCUUCUGCUGGUGGUAAUUUUUGGAAAAAUGAAUCUCUUCAAAACUGUGCAUCGUGUUAUUAAUUUAAAUGGUUUGAAUUUUUUGAUAGGUGGGUCUUUGGGUUAAUUGUAAUAAAGCGUUUUUAGUUUUAA